UUUAUUGGAGAGUUUGAUCCUGGCUCAGGACGAACGCUGGCGGCGUGCCUAAUACAUGCAAGUCGAGCGGAUCUUCGGGAGCUUGCUCCCGAUGGUCAGCGGCGGACGGGUGAGUAACACGUGGGCAACCUGCCUGUAAGACUGGGAUAACUCCGGGAAACCGGGGCUAAUACCGGAUAAUUCAUUCCCUCACAUGAGGGAAUGCUGAAAGACGGCUUUUGCUGUCACUUACAGAUGGGCCCGCGGCGCAUUAGCUAGUUGGUGAGGUAACGGCUCACCAAGGCCACGAUGCGUAGCCGACCUGAGAGGGUGAUCGGCCACACUGGGACUGAGACACGGCCCAGACUCCUACGGGAGGCAGCAGUAGGGAAUCUUCCGCAAUGGACGAAAGUCUGACGGAGCAACGCCGCGUGAGCGAAGAAGGCCUUCGGGUCGUAAAGCUCUGUUGUCAGGGAAGAACAAGUACCGGAGUAACUGCCGGUACCUUGACGGUACCUGACCAGAAAGCCACGGCUAACUACGUGCCAGCAGCCGCGGUAAUACGUAGGUGGCAAGCGUUGUCCGGAAUUAUUGGGCGUAAAGCGCG
rnacentral:rRNA from 2 species